rnacentral:rRNA from 1 species
AUACGGAGGAUCCGAGCGUUAUCCGGAUUUAUUGGGUUUAAAGGGUGCGCAGGCGGACAUUUAAGUCAGCGGUUAAAUCGUGGGGCUCAACCCCAUUCUGCCGUUGAUACUGGGUGGCUUGAUUGCGGUCGAGGUUGGCGGAAUUCGUUGUGUAGCGGUGAAAUGCCUAGAUAUGACGAAGAACACCGAUUGCGUAGGCAGCUGACCAGACCGCAAAUGACGCUCAUGCACGAAAGUGCGGGGAUCGAACAGGAUUAGAUGCCCUGGUAGUCCGCACAGUAAACGAUGAAUACUUGUUUUCGGCGAUAUAAUGUCGGAGGCAAAGCGAAAGCGAUAAGUAUUCCACCUGGGGAGUACGCCGGCAACGGUGAAACUCAAAUGAAUUGACGGGG